rnacentral:lncRNA from 1 species
UGAUGAUUGAACCCAGGACACUGUACCAGUGAGCCACAUCCCCAGCCCUUUUUAUUUCUUAUUUUAAGAAAGGUUCUCACUAAGUUGCUUAGGGCCUCACUAAGUUUCUAAGGCUGGCCUCAAACUUGCAAUCCUCCUGCCUCAGGCUCCUGAGUUGCUGGGAUUACAGGUGUGUGUUAUCAUAUCGGGAAAGCUGUGAUUUUAAAUUUAACAUUUUGAACACAUUUUCACAUGCAUAAACAAGAAAUUGAGCAAUCAUUCUUAAUGAUUUCACUGUAACCCAGUAUAUGAAUGUAGCCUCCUGGGUUUGUCUCUGGUUUUUAAUCAAGAUAGAAGAUACUAUAAUGGACAUCCUCAUGAUUAAACCUUUCUGCAGAACUUGGAGCACUUCCUUAUGACAGAUUCCUAGAAGUGGAUUUGCUGAGUUGAAGAAUAAGCAGCUUUUACGUCUUUUGCUAUCCAUCUUCUAGAAAGGUUAAACCAGUGUACAUUCCCACCAGAAGGGUACAGAGGAUAUGCUACUUCCUACUCUCCUUGACCUGAGAUUACCAUUCUUUUAAAUAAAGAUUUAAAAUCUUGGGAGUGAAAAAUAGAAUAUCCCAAUUGCUUUUCUGUGUAUUUCUCUGUUUAUCAGAGUUAAAAUUAUUUCCUAUGUGUUUCUUAUUUUGUGAUUCACGUGACCAUUUUCUCCCUCUUUGGAGUGU